CGGUGGAUGAUGUGAUUAAUUCGAUGCAACGCGAAAACCUUACUACCCUUGACAUGUCCGGAAUCCCGAAGAGAUUUGGGAGUGCUCGCAAGAGAACCGGAACACAGGUGCUGCAUGGCUGUCGUCAGCUCGUGUCGUGAGAUGUUGGGUUAAGUCCCGCAACGAGCGCAACCCUUGUCAUUAGUUGCUACAUUCAGUUGGGCACUCUAAUGAGACUGCCGGUGACAAACCGGAGGAAGGUGGGGAUGACGUCAAGUCCUCAUGGCCCUUAUAGGUGGGGCUACACACGUCAUACAAUGGAUGGUACAAAGGGUCGCCGACCCGCGAGGGGGAGCCAAUCCCAUAAAGCCAUUCGUAGUCCGGAUCGCAGUCUGCAACUCGACUGCGUGAAGUCGGAAUCGCUAGUAAUCGUGGAUCAGAAUGUCACGGUGAAUACGUUCCCGGGUCUU
rnacentral:rRNA from 1 species